rnacentral:rRNA from 1 species
AACGAACGCUGGCGGCAGGCUUAACACAUGCAAGUCGAACGCCCCGCAAGGGGAGUGGCAGACGGGUGAGUAACGCGUGGGAACGUGCCCUUCGCUUCGGAAUAGCCCCGGGAAACUGGGAGUAAUACCGAAUACGCCGUAUUGGGAAAGAUUUAUCGGCGAAGGAUCGGCCCGCGCUAGAUUAGCUAGUUGGCGGUGUAAUGGACCACCAAGGCUACGAUCUAUAGCUGGUCUGAGAGGAAGAUCAGCCACACUGGGACUGAGACACGGCCCAGACGCCUACGGGAGGAAGCAGUAGGGAAUCUUGGAGAAUGGGCGCAAGCCUGAUCCAGCCAUGCCGCGUGAGUGAAGAAGGCCUUAGGUUUGUAAAGCUCUGUCGCAAGGGAAGAACACAAUGAAUGUACCUUGCAAGAAAGGAUCGGCUAACUUCGUGCCAGCCGCCGCUGUAAUAC